rnacentral:rRNA from 1 species
CAAUAGCGUAUAUUAAAGUUGUUGCAGUUAAAAAGCUCGUAGUUGAAUUUUUGCUUGCCGCCGAUGUCGGAACUUCCGUACGUUCGGCGGCGUGCAUCCUUGGGUGGAACCUGUGUGGCAUUAGGUUGUCGUGCAGGGGAUGCUCAUCGUUUACUGUGAAAAAAUUAGAGUGUUCAAAGCAGGCUUACGCCGUUGAAUAUAUUAGCAUGGAAUAAUAAGAUAGGACCUUGGUACUAUUUUGUUGGUUUGCGCACCGAGGUAAUGAUUAACAGGGACAGUUGGGGGUAUUCGUAUUCCAUUGUCAGAGGUGAAAUUCAUGGAUUUCUGGAAGACGAACUACUGCGAAAGCAUUUACCAAGGAUGUUUUCAUUAA